AGUUUUCACAAUGAGGAUACACAACUCCCUCUUCUGAUUUUAAGUUGAGGGAAUUUGCUGGCAGAAUCGAACCUUAUAUAAUUUAUCCACCUUUGAGUGA